ACAAGUUCAACGGCCGCGGUAUUUUGACCGUGCAAAGGUAGCGCAAUCACUUGUCUUUUAAAUAGAGACCUGUAUGAAUGGCUAAACGAGGGCUUAACUGUCUCCCUUUUCAGGUCAGUGAAAUUGAUCUACCCGUGCAGAAGCGGGUAUAACAAUACAAGACGAGAAGACCCUUUGGAGCUUAAGGUACAAAACUCAACCACGUCAAGCAACUUAAUAAAAAAUAAAAACUUUGUGAAACAUGAGAUUUUACCUUCGGUUGGGGCGACCGCGGAGGAAAAAAAAGCCUCCAAGUGGACCGGGACAAACUCCUAAAACCAAGAGAAACAUCUCUAAGCCACAGAACAUCUGACCAAACAUGAUCCGGCCACCAGGACCGAUCAGCGAACCAAGUUACCCUAGGGAUAACAGCGCAAUCCCCUCCCAGAGUCCAUAUCGACGAGGGGGUUUACGACCUCGAUGUUGGAUCAGGACAUCCUAAUGGUGCAGCCGCUAUUAAGGGUUCGUUUGUUCAACGAUUAAAGUCCUACGUGAUC
rnacentral:rRNA from 1 species